rfam:Cavia porcellus supercont2_2 genomic scaffold, whole genome shotgun sequence.
UCAAAAGACUAUCUCCAGAACUUAUCCAAUCUCAUCUUAUCUCAGAAGUUAAGCAGGGUUGGGCUUGGUUAGUACUGGGAUGGGAAACCACCUGGGAAUACUGGGUGCUAUACUAG